CACUCUGGUGGCCUAGUGGUUAGAGCAUCCGCCUUGGAUGCGGGAAGUCAUAAGUUCAAACCCUGGCCAAGUCA